CCUACGGGAGGCAGCAGUGGGGAAUAUUGCUCAAUGGGGGAAACCCUGAAGCAGCAACGCCGCGUGGGGGAUGAAGGUUUUAUGAUUGUAAACUCCUUUUGUUAGAGAAGAUUAUGACGGUAUCUGACGACUCAUCACCGGCUAACUCCGUUCCAGCCGCCGCGGUAAUACGGAGGGUGCAAGCGUUACUCGGAAUCACUGGGCGUAAAGCGUGCGUAGGCGGGGUAAUAAGUCAGAUGUGAAAUCCUGUAGCUUAACUACAGAACUGCAGUUGAAACUGUUACUCUGGAGUGUGGGAGAGGUAGGUGGAAUGCUUGGUGUAGGGGUAAAAUGCGUAGAGAUCAAGCGGAAUACUCAUUGCGAAGGCGACCUGCUGGAACACAACUGACGCUGAUGCACGAAAGCGUGGGGAGCAAACAGGAUUAGAUACCCCUGUAGUC
rnacentral:rRNA from 1 species